AGUCAUUUCGAAAUCCGAUCGCUACAAUGAAAAUGUUGAAAUAUAUUUGUCUACUUUUAGUAUUGUGUUUACUCAAUUUGUCAGCUAUACAAGCACAAAAAGCAGAAUGCAAACCCCUCACAUUAUCUCUGCGUCGUGGACAGCGAGUUUGUCACCGAUUUUGUGCGAAAAAUGUUUUGCGAAGUCAGUGCGUAACAAUGACUAAAAACACUCGAGUUCGUGUCUGCCCAAUUAUGUGCUGUCAAAUUGGCAACAGCUGUAUGUCACUCUUAAGUCGGAGUUUUUGAGGAAGCAUGCUGUUCUUUGGAACUUUGUGAAUGUACCAUAUACGUAUACAUAUAUGUAUACGGAAGAUCAUUGUCCUUAGCAUUCAUUAAAUCUUAAAUAUUUUGCAUAAUAUUUACACAAUUGAUGUAUGGAAUAUAUAAUAGAAAUGUGAAAAAAAUGAAGAAGUGUUAAAUAAACCCAAUAGUUUUCGAUAAAAAUUUAAAGCAAUUAUAAAGAAUUAUAAUAAAUAAAAGAAAAAAGUAUUUCUAUAUGGAAGUAAUAUGUCGCCUUUGAGGUAUGGGAUAUGAAAAUCCUGCUUAGUGGUAGCAAUCUAUCACGAACAACAGAGAGCUAAACCUCUGAUAUGAAAAUCAUCUCAUAAAAUGCAUCGAACUUAUCAGAAUCAAUAAAAGACUUGAACAAACAUCUAGAAAAUUAUGGCAGACUCAGAGCUCAGAUGUCGCAGAUAAAUAGGAAAUAAUACUUGUGCUUCUUAAUUUUUUCCCGCUGCUUGAGAUUACCAUUAUAUGGAACAAUAUAUGUAUAUACUUAUUCAUGUGCUUUUGUACAUAUUUAUUUAUUAUAUAAUCAGCUAAGAUUAAUUUUUUUCUAUAAAAGGCUAUGCAGAAUCUUAAAUAUCAUUUAUUAUAGUCAUACACUUCGCAGACUAUAUGCUGAUAUUGUCAAAAAUGACGAAAUAUUUGUUGCUUAUUUUAAGCUUUGCCGUUAUCUGCACUAUCGUGACUGAAGCGCAAAUCACAAAUUGUAUGCCCAGAUUCAUGGCAUUUCGUCGCGGUCAACGCUAUUGCCAACUAAAUUGUGCACCAAGAUUGCCUCGCUUCUUUUGCGCACCGGUCAAGAAGGACACUCGAUUACCAGUAUGCCCGCACGGCUGUUGUCGCUCUGGCAGCAUUUGUUUGCCAGUGAAAAGAAGUGGAUAAACGUUGUUCAACGUGGAAAUGUUGAAUUAAUGUAUUAAUAUAAGAAUAUUUUUGUUGAAAAUAAAUUACAAUAAAUUGAAAUUUUGAAAAGCA